rnacentral:ncRNA from 1 species
GCUGAACCAAUCCUUUUCCAAACGAACGCUCUCCUAAUAUGAUUGCUCUGUCGUAAUCUUGUAGUGCUCCUGCUAAAAUUUCUGACGCAGAGGCUGAACGCUCGUCAAUAAGAAUUGAAAUAGGAAUUUCAGUAUCCAAUGGCGCUUUUCUCGUUUUAUAUGUACUGCUAAACUUGUCUAGUUUUGCACGUGUAGUAACAACAACUUUGUUUUUUGGAAUAAAGAAAUUAACAAUAUUUAUAGCUUCGCCAAGUAAACCUCCAGGAUUCU